rnacentral:rRNA from 1 species
GACGAACGCUGGCGGCGUGCUUAACACAUGCAAGUCGAACGGAAAGGCCCUGCUUUUGUGGGGUGCUCGAGUGGCGAACGGGUGAGUAACACGUGAGUAACCUGCCCUUGACUUUGGGAUAACUUCAGGAAACUGGGGCUAAUACCGGAUAGGAGCUCCUGCUGCAUGGUGGGGGUUGGAAAGUUUCGGCGGUUGGGGAUGGACUCGCGGCUUAUCAGCUUGUUGGUGGGGUAGUGGCUUACCAAGGCUUUGACGGGUAGCCGGCCUGAGAGGGUGACCGGCCACAUUGGGACUGAGAUACGGCCCAGACUCCUACGGGAGGCAGCAGUGGGGAAUAUUGCACAAUGGGCGGAAGCCUGAUGCAGCAACGCCGCGUGCGGGAUGACGGCCUUCGGGUUGUAAACCGCUUUCGCCUGUGACGAAGCGUGAGUGACGGUAAUGGGUAAAGAAGCACCGGCUAACUACGUGCCAGCAGCCGCGGUGAUACGUAGGGCGCGAGCGUUGUCCGGAUUUAUUGGGCGUAAAGGGCUCGUAGGUGGUUGAUCGCGUCGGAAGUGUAAUCUUGGGGCUUAACCCUGAGCGUGCUUUCGAUACGGGUUGACUUGAGGAAGGUAGGGGAGAAUGGAAUUCCUGGUGGAGCGGUGGAAUGCGCAGAUAUCAGGAGGAACACCAGUGGCGAAGGCGGUUCUCUGGGCCUUUCCUGACGCUGAGGAGCGAAAGCGUGGGGAGCGAACAGGCUUAGAUACCCUGGUAGUCCACGCUGUAAACGGUGGGUACUAGGUGUGGGGUCCAUUCCACGGGUUCCGUGCCGUAGCUAACGCUUUAAGUACCCCGCCUGGGGAGUACGGCCGCAAGGCUAAAACUCAAAGGAAUUGACGGGGCCCCGCACAAGCGGCGGAGCAUGCGGAUUAAUUCGAUGCAACGCGUAGAACCUUACCUGGGUUUGACAUGGAUCGGGAGCGCUCAGAGAUGGGUGUGCCUCUUUUGGGGUCGGUUCACAGGCGGUGCAUGGCUGUCGUCAGCUCGUGUCGUGAGAUGUUGGGUUAAGUCCCGCAACGAGCGCAACCCUUGUUCACUGUUGCCAGCACGUUAUGGUGGGGACUCAGUGGAGACCGCCGGGGUCAACUCGGAGGAAGGUGGGGAUGACGUCAAGUCAUCAUGCCCCUUAUGUCCAGGGCUUCACGCAUGCUACAAUGGCUGGUACAGAGAGUGGCGAGCCUGUGAGGGUGAGCGAAUCUCGGAAAGCCGGUCUCAGUUCGGAUUGGGGUCUGCAACUCGACCUCAUGAAGUCGGAGUCGCUAGUAAUCGCAGAUCAGCAACGCUGCGGUGAAUACGUUCCCGGG